GUUAUGAUGCCUAAGAACAAUGAAUAUUUGGACAAUAUUUGGGCCACACGAUCUCACUUGCCAUUCCAGCUACCCUAUGAGGUGACUCAGGAGGCUUCCAGUUUUGACUACAACCCUGAGAAGAGAGGACUCUGCAGCUGACCCAGGCUGUGAUGCCAGCUGUUCUGCUGCUUCAGCCAUUUGACCAGCAGUUACCAGGGUGCCCAAAACGUCUAUGGUGCGUGAGGACACUGUGCAGAGUGCCUGAGAGCAUCCACUUCAGAAGAGACCACCACCACCACCCCGCCCACUUGCCUCCACCACCCUAGCCUCUCUCCUUGGCCAUCCUAGAACUUGCCAGGUGAGCCCAAAGAUAAUGGCCAUGGUGGCAUGGAUGAAAGUUCUUCAUGGACUCAAC